CGGAGCUCGUCUAUGGGGCUCAUGUUGGCUGAGGCUCUGAACUACAGAACUGCAAACAACCAAGGGAGCGCCCCAGGCCCCAGCCGUGUGAAGAUGUGCCUGCUUCGCCUUCCAUCAUGACUGAAGUUUCCUGAGGCCUCCCCAGCUAUGCUCCCUAUACAGCCUGCAGAACGGUCGGCUGCCUCCAAUCCUGAGGUCAUCACUCAUCAAGAGGGGAUAAUCCCAGGGACAGCAGGAUCUGCUUCGUUACUUGGAUUUAGGAGCCAGAAACCCAUCAGGCAACUAAACAGUAACAAUGACCCGCCAUUAAACACACUGAGAGAAGAGCAUGAUGAAGAGUUUGUACAAGAAGAAGCCAGGAGCACUUGCUGACAAUGCUUACAGAGACGCAGGCUUCUAUGAGCUCUGCCUGUUGAACUGCAGUAAAAAUAGAUCUCCUUCCCCAGAGAGGCUUGGAUGUGGGCACAAUAUCAGUUCAGACGAUGGUCAAUGCAUGUACUUAAUAGAGUGAAAAGACUUUGGACUGUGAAGUCAGAUUACCUGGGUCUGAAUUGUUAUUCUUCUACUUCUUUGUAGUAUGCUUUCACCACAUUAAAAAUUGUCUGAGCCUCAAUUUUUUUAUCUGCAAAAUGGAGCUAAUACCUACACAGGGGCUUUUAAGAGAAUCAAAUGCAACAAUGUUUGAAAAGCAACAUACUCCCCUUUAUGGAAAAAGAGCCUGUAAAGGAACCAAUACAAUGGCUGGGCGUGGUGACUCACACCUGUAAUCCUAGCACUUUGGGAGGCCGAGGUGGGUGGAUUGCCUGAGCUCAGGAGUUCGAGACCAGCCUGGGCAACAUGGUGAAACCCCGACUCUACUAAAAUACAAAAGA
rnacentral:lncRNA from 1 species